UACAGAGGGUGCGAGCGUUGUCCGGAAUCACUGGGCGUAAAGGGCGCGUAGGUGGUGGCUUAAGCGUGCGGUGAAAGCUCGGGGCUCAACCCCGAGUCGGCCGUGCGAACUGGGCUCACUGGAGCAUAGUAGAGGCAGGUGGAAUUCCGGGUGUAGCGGUGGAAUGCGUAGAGAUCCGGAAGAACACCGGUGGCGAAGGCGGCGCUCUGGGCCGGAACUGACGCUGAGGAGCGAAAGCGUGGGUAGCAAACAGG
rnacentral:rRNA from 1 species